AGACCUAAGAAUACUUGUCUGCUCUACCCCUGAGGAUCAUUGUUGGGGCUGCCACGAGCUGACAACUUUGUUUCCCUGCCUCAGACAUCU
ensembl:scaRNA